UUACACAAGGAAAAUACAAGGAAAGGGACAAGCCUCAUUGACUUGGAGACAAGAUGAAUGAGAACAGCACCAAAAGCCCCCUAGCCCCAGACUGCACCCACUU
rnacentral:lncRNA from 1 species